rnacentral:rRNA from 1 species
UACGAAGGGGGCUAGCGUUGCUCGGAAUCACUGGGCGUAAAGGGUGCGUAGGCGGUUCUUUUAGUCCGGGGUGAAAUCCUGGAGCUCAACUCCAGAACUGCCUUUGAUACUGAAGAUCUUGAGUUCGGGAGAGGUGAGUGGAACUGCGAGUGUAGAGGUGAAAUUCGUAGAUAUUCGCAAGAACACCAGUGGCGAAGGCGGCUCACUGGCCCGAUACUGACGCUGAGGCACGAAAGCGUGGGGAGCAAACAGG